UACGGAGGGGGCUAGCGUUGUUCGGAAUUACUGGGCGUAAAGCGCACGUAGGCGGCUUUGCAAGUUAGAGGUGAAAGCCCGGAGCUUAACUCCGGAAUUGCCUUUAAAACUGCAUCGCUAGAAUUGUGGAGAGGUGAGUGGAAUUCCGAGUGUAGAGGUGAAAUUCGUAGAUAUUCGCAAGAACACCAGUGGCGGAAGGCGGACUCACUGGCUCGGUACUGACGCUGAGGUGCGAAAGCGUGGGGAGCAACAGGGAUUAAGAAACCCU
rnacentral:rRNA from 1 species